rnacentral:tRNA from 1 species
AUCUGGCUGGCUCAGUUGGUAGAGCAUGCGACUCUUGAUCUCAGGGUUGUGAGUUCAAGCCCCACGUUGGGCA